CUGGGAGUCAGAGAGACAUGGCGCGGCAGCAUAUUGCACCGUCGCGGCAACGGCUGCACGGUGCUCCGGCCCCUACCUACGCCGUCGUCCGUUCAGUUCCCCGGCGCCGGCUUGCCGCCGAAUCCCUUCUUGCGCUCCUCGAUGAAGCUGGAGGAGCGCUCGUUGAUGUUGGACGGCACCCUUGGCGCCUGCGGCAUCCGCGGCCGGAGCCCGCUCCGCCUCGGCACCCGGGCGCCGCUCUGCUCCUCCGCUCCGGCGACCGACGACGCCUGCCGCUUCCGGAACAGCGACUUCUUCCUCUCCAACGAGGCGCCGCCGCUGCCCUCCUGCGCAGGACGGUCCUCCUUGAUCGUCACCGUCCUCCUCGUCACCUUCGUCUCCUCCGCCUUCGCCACCGCUGGCGCCGCGGCCUCCGCUUCCACCGGGCCGUCGGCCGCAGCAGCUCCGUCCUGCUUCCGCUCAGGAUCAGGAACGCCCCUCGCCGUCGUCGCGGCGCUCUCUUCCAAGACGGUCGUCGCGACGCCGCUGGGGCCCCCAUCGCCAUGGCCGCCGAGCUGCUGGAAGUCGAACUCGGCCCUCUCGAUGGGUAUGGCGAACUCGUCUUCUUCUAUGCCACCGUCGCCUCCUCCUCCCUCCGUCGGCGGCGGAGGGUGGCCGCCGGCGCCGUUGCUCCUUGGCCCCUCGGCGAUGCUCUUCAUCCUGCUCACCGACAGGUUCUUGGCCAGGAACGUCAGGAACCGGUCGCACAUGCCGCCGGCCGCCCUCGUCGCUGGCUCCACGUCGCCGCCGCCGCUGCCUUUCUCCGCCAUUACCGCGCGCUUGUUGUACUUGUACCUACAGAUUCUUGAUGCCAGGAUUGGAGAGGACGUACGUACACUUUAUAGAUGCAUCAACAUGGGCGUGCCGUGUCGUGUCGUGUGUGAUGUGUUCGUGUGUUGGGAUUGGGACAAGGAGCAACAAAAUUAAAGUACCUGGCAGCGUAGUGGCGCGAAGCAGCAAAGAAUCCAUGUCUUCUCCUUGGGUACUGAAAGACACAGCAAGCAAGCGAUUCCAGAUGCCAUUAGACGGCAACCCGUUCGGAAUAUUGCAGGCCAAAGCGAUUCCAAGAGUCUAACAGAAGCAGCAAGGUAUUCCCUUUGGCCACUGGAAUAAGAGACAAGCAAUCUAUCUGGUACUCCCUCCGUUUCU
rnacentral:misc_RNA from 1 species